AACCAUGCACCGAAGCUGCGGCAGCGAACGUAUCACCCAAGACAACUUUACGGAGUUGACGAUUGACGGAGCGAAGCGACGUCAAAGCGUUCAUUAAAGUCGAGUUGGCUUAGGGAUACGUUCGUUGGGUAGGGGAGCGUUCUGUAAGCCUGUGAAGGUGUGUCGUGAGGCAUGCUGGAGGUAUCAGAAGUGCGAAUGCUGACAUAAGUAACGAUAAAGCGGGUGAAAAGCCCGCUCGCCGGAAGACCAAGGGUUCCUGUCCAACGUUAAUCGGGGCAGGGUGAGUCGACCCCUAAGGCGAGGCCGAAAGGCGUAGUCGAUGGGAAACGGGUUAAUAUUCCCGUACUUGGUGUUACUGCGAAGGGGGGACGGAGAAGGCUAUGUUGGCCGGGCGACGGUUGUCCCGGUUUAAGCGUGUAGGUGUGUGUUCCAGGUAAAUCCGGUUCACUUUAACACUGAGGCGUGACGACGAGGCACUACGGUGCUGAAGCAACAAAUGCCCUGCUUCCAGGAAAAGCCUCUAAGCAUCAGGUAACAUCAAAUCGUACCCCAAACCGACACAGGUGGUCAGGUAGAGAAUACCAAGGCGCUUGAGAGAACUCGGGUGAAGGAACUAGGCAAAAUGGUGCCGUAACUUCGGGAGAAGGCACGCUGACACGUAGGUGAAGUGAUUUACUCAUGGAGCUGAAGUCAGUCGAAGAUACCAGCUGGCUGCAACUGUUUAUUAAAAACACAGCACUGUGCAAACACGAAAGUGGACGUAUACGGUGUGACGCCUGCCCGGUGCCGGAAGGUUAAUUGAUGGGGUCAGCGCAAGCGAAGCUCCUGAUCGAAGCCCCGGUAAACGGCGGCCGUAACUAUAACGGUCCUAAGGUAGCGAAAUUCCUUGUCGGGUAAGUUCCGACCUGCACGAAUGGCGUAAUGAUGGCCAGGCUGUCUCCACCCGAGACUCAGUGAAAUUGAACUCGCUGUGAAGAUGCAGUGUACCCGCGGCAAGACGGAAAGACCCCGUGAACCUUUACUAUAGCUUGACACUGAACAUUGAGCCUUGAUGUGUAGGAUAGGUGGGAGGCUUUGAAGUGUGGACGCCAGUCUGCAUGGAGCCGACCUUGAAAUACCACCCUUUAAUGUUUGAUGUUCUAACGUGGACCCGUAAUCCGGGUUGCGGACAGUGUCUGGUGGGUAGUUUGACUGGGGCGGUCUCCUCCUAAAGAGUAACGGAGGAGCACGAAGGUUGGCUAAUCCUGGUCGGACAUCAGGAGGUUAGUGCAAUGGCAUAAGCCAGCUUGACUGCGAGCGUGACGGCGCGAGCAGGUGCGAAAG
rnacentral:rRNA from 1 species